rnacentral:rRNA from 1 species
AAUGAACGAAAGUUUGACACAGCGACACCGCGUGUGGGAUGACGGAUCUAGGUUUGUAAACCACUUUCAGGAGGGAAGAAAAUGACGGUACCUCCACAAGAAGCCCCGGCCAACUACGUGCCAGCAGCCGCGGUAAUACGUAGGGGGCGAGCGUUGUCCGGAUUUAUUGGGCGUAAAGAGCUCGUAGGCGGUUCAACAAUCGGUCGUGAAAAGUUCAGGGCUCAACCCUGAAAUGCGAUCGAUACUGUUGGACUAGGAUACGGCAGAGGUGAGUGGAACUCCGAGUGUAGCGGUGAAAUGCGUAGAUAUUCGGAGGAACACCAAUUGCGAAGGCGGCUCACUGGGCCGCUAUCGGCGCUGAGGAGCGAAAGCUAGGGGAGCGAACAGGAUU